UGCAAGUCGAACGGCAGCNCGGGAGCAAUCCUGGUGGCGAGUGGCGAACGGGUGAGUAAUAUAUCGGAACGUGCCCAGUCGUGGGGGAUAACGUAGCGAAAGCUACGCUAAUACCGCAUACGAUCUAUGGAUGAAAGCGGGGGAUCGCAAGACCUCGCGCGAUUGGAGCGGCCGAUAUCAGAUUAGGUAGUUGGUGAGGUAAAGGCUCACCAAGCCGACGAUCUGUAGCUGGUCUGAGAGGACGACCAGCCACACUGGGACUGAGACACGGCCCAGACUCCUACGGGAGGCAGCAGUGGGGAAUUUUGGACAAUGGGCGCAAGCCUGAUCCAGCAAUGCCGCGUGCAGGAUGAAGGCCUUCGGGUUGUAAACUGCUUUUGUACGGAACGAAACGGUGAGCUCUAAUACAGUUUGCUAAUGACGGUACCGUAAGAAUAAGCACCGGCUAACUACGUG
rnacentral:rRNA from 1 species